rnacentral:lncRNA from 1 species
UCUAACUGGAGCUAGAGCUGCAGGCCUAUGCCACAGCCACAGUAACAGCAGAUCUGAGCUGUGUUUGUGAUCUACACCACAGCUCACAGCAAUGCCUGGUCCUUAACCCACUGAGCAAGGUCAGGAAUCAAACCCACAUCCUCAUGGAUACUAGUCAGAUUCGUUUCCACUGUGCCACUAUGGGAACUCACCAUUUCCUCUUUCUAACCUUCAUUUAGAUUGACUUUUUUAUUAUUUACUUUUUUUUCCUUUAUUGGUUUAGAAGUUAUAUAUUCUUUUAUUUCUUUUACUAAUGCUUUCCCUGGAGGUACCACAUAAAACCAUAACUGACCAAAUUAUAUAUAUACAUUUUUUCUUUUUAAAAUAAUUUUUAUUUUUUCCAUUAUAGUUGGUUUACAGUGUUCUGUCAAUUUUUUACUACACAGCAAAGUGACCCAUCACACAUACAUAUAUACAUUCUUUUUCUCACAUUAUCCUCCAUCAUGCUCCAUCACAACUGACAAGGUAUAGUUCCCUGUGCUCUACCACAGGAUCUAAUUGAUUAUCUAGUCCAAAUGCAAUAGUUUGCAUCUAUUAACCCCAGAUUCCCAGUCCACCCCACUCCCUCCCCCUCCCCCUUGGCAACCACAAGUCUGUUUUCCAAGUCCAUGAGUUUCUUUUCUGUGGAAAGGUUUAUUUGUUCUGUAUAUUAGAUUCCAGAUAUAAGUGAUAUCAUGUGGUACUUGUCUUUCUCUUUCUGACUUAUUUCACUCAUAUGAGAGUCUCUAGUUCCAUCCAUGUUGCUGCAAAUGGCAUUAUUUUGUUCUUUUUUAUGGCUGAGUAGUAUUCCAUUGUGUAUAUAUACCACAUCUUCCGAAUCCAAUCAUCUGUUGAUGGACAUUUGGGUUGUUUCCAUGUCUUGGCUAUUGUGAAUGGUGCUGCAGUGAACAUUCGGGUGCAUGUGUCUUUUUUAAGGAAAGUUUUGUCUGGAUAUAUUCCCAAAUUUUAUAUUAAUUUAUGCCUUUAUUCUCUUUGCCAACAAUGCAAGAUCUAUAGCACCCUUUAAAUCCAUUUAUCUUUCUAUUUACUUAGAUGCUAUUGUGAUGUGUUUUAAUUAUCUAUUUUAAAGCUCAUAAGUGAUUAUUUUUAAAAGUCACUAUUUUUGGGGUUUUCCAUAUACUUACCAUUUUUGUUGUUCUUUUUUUCUUCCUAAAUUCUCUGGGCUUCUGUGUAGGAAUAUUUCCAUUCUGCCAAAAGACUAUCCUUUAGUAUUUUCUUUAAUUUGGGCCUCCUGGUGAUAUGCUACCUCAGGUUUUUUGUUUUUUGUUUUUGGUAUUGAUGUGCUUUUAUUUUAGCUUCAUUCUUGAAAAAUAUCUUUGCUGUGAGUAGAUGCCACUUUUUUUUUUUUUUUUCAGUUCUUUGUGGAUACCAUUACAGUAUUCUGGCAUUCAUUGUUUUGUUGUGAAGUUGGUUUUACACUUUGCUUCUUUAAGGUGACUUGGCUGCAUUUAAGAUAGUAACAAUGGUAAAAUUGCCAGUUUACAAUUUGCAAUAAUAAAUAUAACAUUAAGCCUGUCCAUUGGUUUAGAUGAUUUUUUCCAGAAAUAUUUAGUUCUCUGGGUACAGAUGCAGAGAAGGCAGGAAGCAGGGCUCAUCCAGCAAUGGUUGUUGCCAGCUACAAAGAGCAGAAGUAAGAGAGCAGGGACUUAAGGGUAUUUACAUGGGUGUAAAUAGAAUGAUGAAUCUUGGAAUCUAGUUUGUACAAGAAGGUAAAUGAACUUGGAGGAAAAUGAUAGGCAGGGAGAAAUGGUUGCCUUAUUUGAUUUUAUAUCUAAGGAUUUUAAUAG